rnacentral:rRNA from 1 species
GGCGGCGUGCCUAACACAUGCAAGUCGAGCGGUAACAGGUGUAGCAAUACAUGCUGACGAGCGGCGAACGGGUGAGUAAUGCUUUGGAAUCUUCCCAGUAGUGGGGAAUAACCAGUCGAAAGAUUGGCUAAUACCGCAUACGUCCGAAAGGGGAAAGCGGGGGCUCGUAAGACCUCGCGCUAUUGGAUGAGCCAAAGUCGGAUUAGCUAGUUGGUGGGGUAAUGGCCUACCAAGGCGACAAUCCGUAGCUGGUCUGAGAGGACGACCAGCCACACCGGAACUGAGACACGGUCCGGACUCCUACGGGAGGCAGCAGUGGGGAAUAUUGGACAAUGGGGGAAACCCUGAUCCAGCGACGCCGCGUGUGUGAAGAAGGCCUGCGGGUUGUAAAGCACUUUUAGUGGGGACAAAAAGCUACGGACUAAUACUCUGUGGUCUUGAUUUAACCCAAAGAAAAAGCACCGGCUAACUCUGUGCCAGCAGCCGCGGUAAUACAGAAGGUGCGAGCGUUAAUCGGAAUUACUGGGCGUAAAGCGCGCGUAGACGGUUUUGUAAGUCAGAUGUGAAAUCCCUGGGCUCAACCUGGGAACUGCAUUUGAAACUGCAUGGCUA